rnacentral:rRNA from 1 species
GGGUUGUGAGGUUAAGCGACUAAGCGUACACGGUGGAUGCCCUGGCAGUCAGAGGCGAUGAAGGACGUGCUAAUCUGCGAAAAAGCGCCGGCGAGGUGAUAUGAACCCUUGACCCGGCGAUGUCCGAAUGGGGAAACCCAGUGCAAUCCGUUGCACUAUCGUUAACUGAAUACAUAGGUUAACGAGGCGAACCGGGGGGAACUGAAACAUCUAAGUACCCCGAGGAAAAGAAAUCAACCGAGAUUCCCCCCAGUAGCGGCGAGCGAACGGGGAGCAGCCCAGAGUCUGAAUCAGCUUGUGUGUUAGUGGAAGCGUCUGGAAAGUCGCACGGUACAGGGUGAAAGUCCCGUACACGAAAAUGCACAGGCUGUGAACUCGAAGAGUAGGGCGGGACACGUGGUAUCCUGUCUGAAUAUGGGGGGACCAUCCUCCAAGGCUAAAUACUCCUGACUGACCGAUAGUGAACCAGUACCGUGAGGGAAAGGCGAAAAGAACCCCGGCGAGGGGAGUGAAAMAGAACCUGAAACCGUGUACGUACAAGCAGUGGGAGCACCUUCGGGUGUGAUGCGUACCUUUUGUAUAAUGGGUCAGCGACUUAUAUUCUGUAGCAAGG